GCCUCCGCUGCCUAGGCUGUUUUCCUGUGUGUGGCCUAGCAGCGCCCAGGAGGCGGGCCUGAAUCAAGACGGAACUAGUUCCUACAACAUUUAAUUUUAAUAAUGUUUUGGUUGCGGAGGGCCGGGACCUUGCAGAGAAGAGAGACUGUUCAAGGCUCAGCGGAGGCCGAGCUGAAGGUAGAGAACUGGAAGGCUAGGGCAAAUGCUUUCCCUCCUCUCCCAUGACGGCCCACGGUAAAGUGGGGCAGAUGCUUUGGGAAACAAUUGCUUAGUUCUUCAGAACAUUAAAUACAAGACUUAGUUACCAUAGAACCACUUCUAGGUAUACAGUCAAAAGAAACGCAGCCACACAACCACACAAAAACGCGUACAUAAAUGUUAUCUCGUAUCUCGCUGAAUGUUGAAGACUCAGUACUCAAAAAGUGAAAACAGUGAUGCCACACGCUUCAUCCCAACACUCAGGAGGCAGAAGCAACCUGGUCCACAGAGCACAUUCCAGGACAGUCAGGACGGUUAUACAGAACGAACAAACAUAAAAGAAAAGAGAAAGAAACAGGGUGGUUUCCACCUCAAAGCAUACCCUUCUGUUAAAGAAACUGAUUUUGCCACAACCCCACUCAAAACAAACAAACAAACAAACCAAAACUCCCAAACCUAAAGUAAAACAUUGAGUCUUCCAUGUGGACAUCGACAUCAGUGGUCUAACUCAGUUGGUAGAGAGCCUCUCUAACGUGUGAAGCAUUGAGUUUGUGCCCAAACCACAUAAAAACCAAGUGCAGUGGUACAAAGUUAGAGGCUGCCCUGGAAUACACUAGACCUACCUUUUAAAACAGAAGAAAGAACAUAGAGAAAGAAGGACGCCAAACACAGGAGGACUGAGCCAGUCUCUGCCUUCCCGUGGUGUCUGUCCCUUUUGUGUGGAUCACCCGCUCACCUCUGUGUGGGCUCGGGCGUUCAUCACUCAUGGAGUAUUUACAACAAAGCUGGUGGUAAGGAACCCGGCUCAUCCCCUCUAAGGCUGAAGGCACCUUAAGUUAGCCUUUAUAAUGACUGCUCCAGACCCCCAAAGGACCUCCACUUGUCCUAAACUUGCAGUCACUUUAGAUUACGGGAACAGCAGAGCCUCGAAGGACAGAUAAGCCCCAAUUGUCGGCUGUUAUCCCUGCACCCUGAAGGAGGGAUAAUCAUCUUAUGGAAACCCGUUUGCUCUCUCAAGCAAUCUAGACUUCUCAGGGCAGCUUAAAGAACCAGAACUAAGACCCUUAGCUGCCAGGGUGGCAGUGAACUGGGGGGGGGGGGGGGUCACUGAAUCCCAUUAUCUGCUCACCAUGCCACGGUGUACAUCGAUAAAAUCCCCUCUGCUUUUUACCAACACUAAUCUGUUUAACUGGCAUAUAUAAUGGCUGAGCCGAGCCAGUGGGGGCUGCCAGGGUCUCUGCAAACUCCGGUUAUUCUGACAGGGUCGAUAUGACUUUGAUCCCCAAUCCCCACUCUGAACGCUCUUUCUGAGUCCUCAGCUACCUUCGCUUAUCCAUCCCAUCCGACCUUGAGAUGACACAGGGCUGGCCAAGCGUGACUGUGUGUGAACUGCACUCAGGCCAUUGCAUCGACUGAGACCUCUCGAACCACAAGAUGGACUCUCAAAACAUACAGGGACAUGCGUACUCCAGCUCAGGAGAGUGGUGAUCUCCAGGAACGGAGGGACCUAAAAAGAUGCAAAAGGCCUUCUACAGUUAGCUAUAUAUUUCUUGCUCUCUCUCCCUUCCUCCCCUCCCUCCUCCUCUCUCCUUCCCUCUCCCUCCCCUUCUCUCUCCCUCUAGUUCUCUCUUCUGAGAUGGUUUCAUGGAUCCUGUCUGUCCUGAAUUUCACUGUGUAUUGAGGAUGAUUUGGGGUUCCUGAUCUUCCUAUGUCUGUGUGCUGUGGUUACAAGCCUCGCUUAUGCAGUGCUGGGGUCAAACCCAGAGGUCUGCGUUCCAGGAAAGCACGUUAAACUGUAUGUCAUGAGGCUGGCUGAGAACCUGGGACCUUCCUCUGCCGGGCGCUGAGAUUAUGUAGAUUUUAAAGGAAUGAAGCAAAACACUCUAAGUCGGGUAGGUCUACAGCAUAUGAUGUAUUUAUGUUUCUUCACAUUUGGAAUUUUGUCCAGAAUAAGAAUUUCAUACUCAUUUUAUUUUUUUUCGAGACAGGGUCUCUCUUCAUAGCCCUAGCUAUCCUUGAAUUCACUAUCUAUGUAGACCAGGCUGGCCUCCAACUCACAGAGAUCCACCUGCCUCUGCUUCUCGAGUGCUAGAAUUAAAGGCAUUUUUUUUUAAACUAAACUUUUCACUUGUUUAGACAGGGUUGGUACUGUGUCGUUUAGGCUAGCUGGGGUUUGUGACAAUAAUCUCGUCUCAGUCCAAACAUGCUCACCUUUUAAAGGUGUAGGGCUGGAGGCAGAGCCCGGUGCUUCAUCUGGGCAGGUCCUGGGUUCAAUCCUUAGCACCAAAAGAAAAAAAAAUAGCGUGGGAAUACUUAAGCGUAUAAAAAAUUAAAUGUUGGGCUGGAUUGAUGGCUCAGUGGUUAAGAGCACUGACUGCUCUUCCAGAGAGGUCCUGAGUUCGAUUCCCAGCAACCACAUGGUGGCUCACAAACAUCUGUCAUGGAAUCCAAUGCUGUCUUCUGGUGUGUCUGAAGACAGCUACAGUGUACUCAUAUACAUAAAAUAAAUAAAUCUUAAAAAAAAUUAAAUGUAUAAAACAAAUAUGGGGUUGCCAGUAUAGUUCAGUGGCAGGGUGCCCGCUCGGCAUUUGAGAGGCCUUCUGCCUCCAGCACCACGAGAAAGAAAGAAAAAAAAAGAAAAGCAAUGGGAUCCUAAAAACUCGGCAAAGGGAAGAAGUCUUAGGACGAAGCAUUCUGAAAUCUCAUGAAGCAACUGUGUGAACACUUGCUGAACCGUCCCCAAAAGGAUAACAAAGACGUGAGAGAAAAGCCGAGGGAUGGCUGGGCAGUUUGUGUCAAGGGAGAGGAAACUCAGCUGAGAAAUUGCCUGCUCGGAUCCUUCUGCUUCCAACUCCCAAAUUCUGGGACGACAAACAAACGCCAAGUCCAGGUUAAUCUGUUUCCUUCGGUCCUCUUUCUGAACACACACACACACACACAGUACUUUCUCCUGGAUCCCCUCAGAGGCAGUGCUGGCGUGUGGUGCUUGGCGUGGCUGCAGCCGCAGAGACUUUUGUGGCGAGGCCACUAUCUGGUGGAGAACAUAGGACCACGGAAAAUCUGAGAAAGGGGGGCUCCUUACAAUGGUUUGUGAGGGUGGGGGUGGGGUGGAGGUGGGUGCCUUUAAUUCUAGCACUUGGGAAGUGCAUGCUGUUGUGUUUUAUAAAAAAGAAAACGAAGGCAAGGAGAGGCCUGAAUGGUGUGGGGGAUGGGGGGUGCCUCUGUGGGCCCAGGCUGAGGCAUUUCUUUCCCCUGAGGGACCAGCCACACCGGUAUAGUUUAGGAUAGGGUUUAUUUUGG
ensembl:lncRNA